GACGAAUAAAUUAGUUACGCCCGCCAAAUCUUGCUCUCUCCUCAUCGUCCCCUCUCGCCGCGUUUCUACCCUUCCGAAUUCUCUCGCUACGUUUUCUUGACGCCACCGCUUCCUUCCCGAUGGUGGCGUCGUGCUUGAGGCCCUGGAUUGCCACCGGAGGUUGGGACGCCCUUAGAUCCGAAGGGAACACUUGGGAUUCCGGCCGUCUCCGAGCGAUCUUUAACGCUCGGUCGAGGGUUUACCGCGCCGAGGGAUGGCGACGCGUCGCUUGGCUACUGUAGUUCCGAUCGGCAUUCCAGGAAUGGACUCGCCGGCGAGAAUCAGCGGUUCGUCGAGUGGUUACGACAGGCGUGGCGGUACAUACGGAGGGCACAGUGGGAGCACGUUCGUGGUGGUAAUAUCGGGGGAGAUCGUGGAUGAUUCUGAGUUGGACAGCAUUCUUCAGGUACCUGGUGGUUCUUCUUCUUCUUCUUGGCUUAUUCUUUUGGAUUUCCUUUCGUCGGUUUGAUCUAUCGUCUUUUCUGUGCCGUGGAGCCGACUGUUUUCUAUGACGAUCUAAUUUGGCGGUGCAAGAUUAAUUUACUCUUUUCUAUGAUCAAAUUUGGCGGUGAAAGAAUAGUUUCGUUUUCGUGAUCAGAUUUGGCAGUGAAAGAUUAAUUUAUUUUUUUUUCUUGGUCAUGAAAUUUGGUGGUUAAAGAUCAAUUAAUUGUUAAUAAAUAAAUAUGACUUUUCUUGGGAAGGUAAACAUAUGAGGUAAAAAGCGUUUGAAAAGUUGGGUGGUUCAUGAGCGUAGUACCCAUUUCUUCCUUUAAUCAAAACGGAGUGCAAUGGAGUUUGUGACCCGAUCGUGUAGUUAAUUGCAAGAUCCAACGGCGUGAUCGUUUGUGUUCCAGACGCAAUUGGGUUGGGAGCUUGUGGAAGAAGGGUUUUGGAAAAUAAUGAAUCAUGUAAUCCUAGUCUUACGUUGUGUUAAUUAAUUUAAAGCUGUUUGGGCUUUGAACUAUCAGUUUUGACAAAAUGGAAGCCUCUAAAAUCUGGUGACAGGGAAACCCUAUGUGUUUUCUAUCGUGAGCACCUUUGUUGGGUUCGAGUUCCACCGAUCAAUCAACCUAGACAUUCAAACGCAGGUUCUUUCUUUGGAUUCUGUUCAUGUGGCGGCAUGUGACAUAACAUAACAGAGUAGUUUUGUCCCAAAAGAUGUAAUAGAAAUUGUGACAAAAAAGAGAGAGAGAGAGGAUGUUUCUUGGGAAGCAGAAGAGAACAUCAUAACAUAGUAGUUUUGUCCCAAAAGAUGUAAUAGAAAUUUUGUGACAAAAAAGAGAGAGAGGAUGUUUCUUGGGAAGCAGAAGAGAAGGAAUUCUUGACGGUGGUACAUCAUAACAUCAUAAUGCUUCAAAUGCAGGAUAUUUUCCUCCAUCAUGGCCUCGGGAUCAAAUUUGAUAAACUCUUGAUAGAAAGCGGGAGGAACAUUUGUUUUGAUCCAUAAGUUUUUAGCAAAAUUCUUCUUUCUUUGGCUUCCAUGAUAUUAAUAAUUUGUUUGAUGGCUUUUGUUACUAACGUAAUUUUUUGUAUGCUUGCUCUGAAGGAUUUCUUUUUUUUUUUUGUUUAAAGUUUUAGUAAACCUGGGCGUUUAUUUGGCUUAUUUUAAGGUUGACUCUGUGUUUUAUUAUUAUUAUUAUUAUUAUUAUUAUUAUUAUUAUUAUUAUUAUUAUUAUUAUUAUUAUUAUUAUUAUUAUUAUUAUCAUUGGACUCAUGCUCCUUGUUCUUUUGACACCAUUAUUUCAUUUAUGGGCAUCAUAGGAGAUGUGGCUUAUAAAGCCCAAUAUGAGGAGCCAUCAUGUUUUCUUUAAUUAUUUUUUUUUCAGAAAAAAAAAAGAUAGUUGUUAGCCUUUGGUUUUGCUAGUAUACUUAGGGAAAGUAGGGGUCGACUGAAUGUUAGUAUACUUUGGUUUUGCUUCCUCCUUCAGAAAUCAUAUAGUUGGCAACCUAGUUGUUGCAACUCAGCAGAUAGGAUGAUAGGUUAACGAUUUAAAUUGGUAAUAGAUUUAAUCCUAACUUAUGUGCGUUUCAACCAAACAAAAAAUACUGCAUUGCAACUAUACAUGAGUCACGAAUGAUUCUUUUACUUUCUUCUAAGGAACUUUUUAAUUAAGGUGCAAAUUCAUUCCUAAAGGAACUCUUUUAACUAUUUAUUGCACAUGAGGUGUCACAGUUGCCCUAUGCUGUUCAUAAGACCAUAUUAUCUUAGCUUGGAAGUGUUUUGGAUAAGUUUUGAACUGCAAGUAUAUGCCGAUGUUCUUUUUUUUUUCUGAAUGGAUUAAUUCUUAGUUUUUGUUUUUUUGGUUCAUGCAGUUACAUUUUAUCGCAUGACAUGUUAGAUAAUAUUUGCUAUCUCGGGUUUUUGUAAGGGUCGUCCCUCUAUGCUAUGUCUUAUUUCUUAUUUUUGGUUCAUCCAUGUUUUAUUUCUGUGCGUAUUUUGUCAAAAAUCGAGAGUUGUGGCGACACAAAAGCUUCCAGAAUAUGACAUGCAGGGCCAGGGGAGUGACACAGUCGGUCGCAAAUGACAUGUUUGUUCUCUCACUUUUCCUUCUCGUCUUAUAAAGUACUAACAUGAAUAAGGGCGUCCCAUUAGUUUUCUGCUGCAAAGUGGAUGACAGGGAUUUGCAAGUGAACGGUCGGAGUUGGCUGCUGCGGCAUACGUUUGCUAUGAAGUGUGUACACUUUUUAUGUGAUAAAAAAAUCAAUCCUACAAAAUUUUAGCAAACUUU
rnacentral:lncRNA from 1 species